GAUGAACGCUGGCGGCGUGCCUAAUACAUGCAAGUAGAACGCUGAAGCUUGGUGCUUGCACCCGAGCGGAUGAGUUGCGAACGGGUGAGUAACGCGUAGGUAACCUGCCUCUUAGCGGGGGAUAACUAUUGGAAACGAUAGCUAAUACCGCAUAAAAGUCGAUAUCGCAUGAUAUUGAUUUGAAAGGUGCAAUUGCAUCACUAAGAGAUGGACCUGCGUUGUAUAGCUAGUUGGUGAGGUAACGGCUCACCAAGGCGACGAUACAUAGCCGACCUGAGAGGGUGAUCGGCCACACUGGGACUGAGACACGGCCCAGACUCCUACGGGAGGCAGCAGUAGGGAAUCUUCGGCAAUGGGGGCAACCCUGACCGAGCAACGCCGCGUGAGUGAAGAAGGUUUUCGGAUCGUAAAGCUCUGUUGUAAGAGAAGAACGAGUGUGAGAGUGGAAAGUUCACACUGUGACGGUAACUUACCAGAAAGGGACGGCUAACUACGUGCCAGCAGCCGCGGUAAUACGUAGGUCCCGAGCGUUAUCCGGAUUUAUUGGGCGUAAAGCGAGCGCAGGCGGUUAGAUAAGUCUGAAGUUAAAGGCUGUGGCUUAACCAUAGUACGCUUUGGAAACUGUUUAACUUGAGUGCAGAAGGGGAGAGUGGAAUUCCAUGUGUAGCGGUGAAAUGCGUAGAUAUAUGGAGGAACACCGGUGGCGAAAGCGGCUCUCUGGUCUGUAACUGACGCUGAGGCUCGAAAGCGUGGGGAGCAAACAGG
rnacentral:rRNA from 1 species